GACGAACGCUGGCGGCGUGCUUAACACAUGCAAGUCGAACGGAAAGGCCCUGCUUGCCGGGUACUCGAGUGGCGAACGGGUGAGUAACACGUGGGUGAUCUGCCCUGCACUUCGGGAUAAGCCUGGGAAACUGGGUCUAAUACCGGAUAGGAGCCAUUUUUAGUGUGAUGGUUGGAAAGUUUUUUCGGUGUAGGAUGAGCUCGCGGCCUAUCAGCUUGUUGGUGGGGUAAUGGCCUACCAAGGCGGUGACGGGUAGCCGGCCUGAGAGGGUGGACGGCCACAUUGGGACUGAGAUACGGCCCAGACUCCUACGGGAGGCAGCAGUGGGGAAUAUUGCACAAUGGGCGCAAGCCUGAUGCAGCGACGCCGCGUGGGGGAUGACGGCCUUCGGGUUGUAAACUCCUUUCGCUAGGGACGAAGCUUUUUGUGACGGUACCUAGAUAAGAAGCACCGGCUAACUACGUG
rnacentral:rRNA from 1 species